GACGAACGCUGGCGGCGUGCUUAACACAUGCAAGUCGAACGGAAAGGCCCUGCUUUUGUGGGGUGCUCGAGUGGCAAACGGGUGAGUAACACGUGAGUAACCUGCCCUUGACUUUGGGAUAACUUCAGGAAACUGGGGCUAAUACCGGAUAGGAGCUCCUGCUGCAUGGUGGGGGUUGGAAAGUUUCGGCGGUUGGGGAUGGACUCGCGGCUUAUCAGCUUGUUGGUGGGGUAGUGGCUUACCAAGGCGUUGACGGGUAGCCGGCCUGAGAGGGUGACCGGCCACAUUGGGACUGAGAUACGGCCCAGACUCCUACGGGAGGCAGCAGUGGGGAAUAUUGCACAAUGGGCGGAAGCCUGAUGCAGCAACGCCGCGUGCGGGAUGACGGCCUUCGGGUUGUAAACCGCUUUCGCCUGUGACGAAGCGUGAGUGACGGUAAUGGGUAAAGAAGCACCGGCUAACUACGUG
rnacentral:rRNA from 1 species